CCCCGUACACAAAAAUGCACAUGCUGUGAGCUCGAUGAGUAGGGCGGGACACGUGGUAUCCUGUCUGAAUAUGGGGGGACCAUCCUCCAAGGCUAAAUACUCCUGACUGACCGAUAGUGAACCAGUACCGUGAGGGAAAGGCGAAAAGAACCCCGGCGAGGGGAGUGAAAAAGAACCUGAAACCGUGUACGUACAAGCAGUGGGAGCACGCUUAGGCGUGUGACUGCGUACCUUUUGUAUAAUGGGUCAGCGACUUAUAUUCUGUAGCAAGGUUAACCGAAUAGGGGAGCCGAAGGGAAACCGAGUCUUAACUGGGCGUUAAGUUGCAGGGUAUAGACCCGAAACCCGGUGAUCUAGCCAUGGGCAGGUUGAAGGUUGGGUAACACUAACUGGAGGACCGAACCGACUAAUGUUGAAAAAUUAGCGGAUGACUUGUGGCUGGGGGUGAAAGGCCAAUCAAACCGGGAGAUAGCUGGUUCUCCCCGAAAGCUAUUUAGGUAGCGCCUCGUGAAUUCAUCUCCGGGGGUAGAGCACUGUUUCGGCAAGGGGGUCAUCCCGACUUACCAACCCGAUGCAAACUGCGAAUACCGGAGAAUGUUAUCACGGGAGACACACGGCGGGUGCUAACGUCCGUCGUGAAGAGGGAAACAACCCAGACCGCCAGCUAAGGUCCCAAAGUCAUGGUUAAGUGGGAAACGAUGUGGGAAGGCCCAGACAGCCAGGAUGUUGGCUUAGAAGCAGCCAUCAUUUAAAGAAAGCGUAAUAGCUCACUGGUCGAGUCGGCCUGCGCGGAAGAUGUAACGGGGCUAAACCAUG
rnacentral:rRNA from 1 species